ensembl:misc_RNA Y_RNA Y RNA
GGCUAAUAUGGUACUGGGUUAUUAGAAUUUAUUAAAAUUAGUGUCACUAAAGUUGGUAUUCAACUCCACACUGCUAAAUUUGACUGGCUUUAA